UUUGGCAGCGAGACUCUCAUCAUUCCCCAAACGGAACUGAUCAGUUCAACGGGAUUCUGGAGGUGAACACAAAACAUGCACCGAUGCCGAUACUGGCCGAGUUAGUUUUGUCCGUGGAACUCAUGAACUGCUGCACCAGUGUGGUGCCUUUUGAGACAGCAAAAAGCAGAGACUACUAGAAGUUUGUGCAAUAGUUUGUCAAGAUUGGCCGGAGCAGACGGAGAGGAAAGGUACCAUAGAGGUGCUGUCGGGCGGAAAGGUGGCGCGUUGCUUCUGCCGGCGGACCGUGCGUGCCCUGCUGCUGGCGUGACGAGCUUGCCUUAGAGGAGAGUUUAACCCUUGAGCCACUCUGGGCAGCGAGGGGUACUAACGGUUUACCAAUAUGAGAGGCUUUGUGACUCUCUGCGUUGUGGCAGCGCUGAGCGUUUUGUCUCAAUCAUUCGUGCCACCUGUUCAAGCGGAUAGUUCAAGUGA